ACAGGAACCCCUGUAUGAGAGAACAGGAACCCCUGUCUGAGAAAAGUGGCGUACCACGCAUAGUGACAGCAGAUCGGUGUGAAUGCGUCCGCAGUAACAGCAUGUGGGAGGGAGAUGUGCAGCAACCACUUACCCAGCCAGGUCAUUAGGGAAUACAGAGACCGGCUCAGUAUCCUGCUCCUAUUACACACAGCUGCAGUCCAUACAACUUGUGGCCUACGCUGAGAUUUCCCAUCCCCUCCUAUCGGCCAGCGUCUCAGCAGUCACCAUACCCAGAGACUAGAUAUACACCUUCCAAGCAAAAUGCAAGGUUCUCCGAGGCUAAGUUACUGCACUGCAACAUCAAGCUCCGCUCAUAGCCAGAGAAUAAAGGGGAACAGUUGCAUCACCAGAGUCUGCAUUACCGUCAUGAACAGAAAUGCACCAUAUGUAACAGCCAUAGGUGUAAUCAUUUACAUUCCUGCCCCACUACCCAGAAUCCCACGGUGGAACCAAACCCAGUAUAUGACCAGAGGAAAAAGAAAAGUCACAAUGAAACAGCUCUUUGUCUGCAUUUGAAAACUUUGCAACACUAGCAAUGAUGGAUGGAAGUUUUGACGGUGCUCAUGCUAUCGGGAUACUGGCAUCGAUACUGACCCGGCGGCAUUCCGUACGCCGGCAAAUCACACUGAAUCCUUCUUAAACAUGUCAGUACUUUCACUUAUCGCCUCCUCAAUAAUAGAAAAUAUUUACUAUAUUGAUGGGUAUUAACUCCGACAAAAUGGCCACGUUUCUGGAAAGUAUAUGUUGUUCAGGUCGCUGUAAUGAGUGUUGAGAUCCUGAUAAUGUUCCGAGAAUCUUUUGUUUUGCAGUUAAUAGUGAUACGGAAAUAACGUGUUCGCUGUUUCCUCACAAUCUGCCAUUGGCGGCCUCCAGCCACGGCGAGGAAAGGUCAGAGUAAAGUGCCGGAGCAGGUAGAAUAAAUGGAGCGUAAAC